UUGAAGAGUUUGAUCAUGGCUCAGAUUGAACGCUGGCGGCAGGCCUAACACAUGCAAGUCGAGCGGUAGCACAGAGAGCUUGCUCUCGGGUGACGAGCGGCGGACGGGUGAGUAAUGUCUGGGAAACUGCCUGAUGGAGGGGGAUAACUACUGGAAACGGUAGCUAAUACCGCAUAACGUCGCAAGACCAAAGUGGGGGACCUUCGGGCCUCAUGCCAUCAGAUGUGCCCAGAUGGGAUUAGCUAGUAGGUGGGGUAACGGCUCACCUAGGCGACGAUCCCUAGCUGGUCUGAGAGGAUGACCAGCCACACUGGAACUGAGACACGGUCCAGACUCCUACGGGAGGCAGCAGUGGGGAAUAUUGCACAAUGGGCGCAAGCCUGAUGCAGCCAUGCCGCGUGUGUGAAGAAGGCCUUCGGGUUGUAAAGCACUUUCAGCGGGGAGGAAGGCGUUAAGGUUAAUAACCUUGGCGAUUGACGUUACCCGCAGAAGAAGCACCGGCUAACUCCGUGCCAGCAGCCGCGGUAAUACGGAGGGUGCAAGCGUUAAUCGGAAUUACUGGGCGUAAAGCGCACGCAGGCGGUCUGUCAAGUCGGAUGUGAAAUCCCCGGGCUCAACCUGGGAACUGCAUUCGAAACUGGCAGGCUAGAGUCUUGUAGAGGGGGGUAGAAUUCCAGGUGUAGCGGUGAAAUGCGUAGAGAUCUGGAGGAAUACCGGUGGCGAAGGCGGCCCCCUGGACAAAGACUGACGCUCAGGUGCGAAAGCGUGGGGAGCAAACAGGAUUAGAUACCCUGGUAGUCCACGCCGUAAACGAUGUCGAUUUGGAGGUUGUGCCCUUGAGGCGUGGCUUCCGGAGCUAACGCGUUAAAUCGACCGCCUGGGGAGUACGGCCGCAAGGUUAAAACUCAAAUGAAUUGACGGGGGCCCGCACAAGCGGUGGAGCAUGUGGUUUAAUUCGAUGCAACGCGAAGAACCUUACCUGGUCUUGACAUCCACAGAACUUUCCAGAGAUGGAUUGGUGCCUUCGGGAACUGUGAGACAGGUGCUGCAUGGCUGUCGUCAGCUCGUGUUGUGAAAUGUUGGGUUAAGUCCCGCAACGAGCGCAACCCUUAUCCUUUGUUGCCAGCGGUUCGGCCGGGAACUCAAAGGAGACUGCCAGUGAUAAACUGGAGGAAGGUGGGGAUGACGUCAAGUCAUCAUGGCCCUUACGACCAGGGCUACACACGUGCUACAAUGGCAUAUACAAAGAGAAGCGACCUCGCGAGAGCAAGCGGACCUCAUAAAGUAUGUCGUAGUCCGGAUUGAGUCUGCAACUCGACUCCAUGAAGUCGGAAUCGCUAGUAAUCGUAGAUCAGAAUGCUACGGUGAAUACGUUCCCGGCCUUGUACACACCGCCCGUCACACCAUGGGAGUGGGUUGCAAAAGAAGUAGGUAGCUUAACCUUCGGGAGGGCGCUUACCACUUUGUGAUUCAUGACUGGGGUGAAGUCGUAACAAGGUAACCGUAGGGGAACCUGCGGUUGGAUCACCUCCUU
rnacentral:rRNA from 1 species